GACGAACGCUGGGCGGCGUGCCUAAUACAUGCAAGUUGAACGCUUCUUUCUUAUCGAACUUCGGUUCACCAAGAAAGAGGAGUAGCGAACGGGUGAGUAACACGUGGGUAACCUGCCCAUCAGCGGGGGAUAACACUUGGAAACAGGUGCUAAUACCGCAUAAUGCUUUUUCUCACAUGAGAGAAAGCUGAAAGGCGCUUUUGCGUCACUGAUGGAUGGACCCGCGGUGCAUUAGCUAGUUGGUAGGGCACGGCCUACCAAGGCAACGAUGCAUAGCCGACCUGAGAGGGUGAUCGGCCACACUGGGACUGAGACACGGCCCAGACUCCUACGGGAGGCAGCAGUAGUGUAUCUUCGGCAAUGGACGAAAGUCUGACCGAGCAA
rnacentral:rRNA from 1 species